rnacentral:rRNA from 1 species
AAUUGCCUGAGUUGGAACUGUCGGGGUGCGGCCAACAAACCGACAGUUCAUGAGUUGGUGGGACUUGCGAGGACCGCCAGAGCACAUUUGGUCUUUUUAUGUGAAACUAGAGUUAAAGCUGAAAAAGUGCGUCGUUUAAGAGGUAGACUGGGUCUGAGGGGUUUUGCUGGAUGUGAUAGCAAUGGUCUGAGUGGGGGCCUAGCCCUCUUCUGGAGUGAUCAA